AAAAAAGAAAAGAAAAAACUAAAACUCCUCAAAAUUUGAGUUCCCCGUAAUCGAAUUCCUAUAAAGCUUUCCCACUAAAGUUUCUAAAUAGAAAUAGGAAAAGUGAAUUCUCAACCUGAAUAGAGAAUGAGUAUAUAGAAACAAAUUGCCAAUGGAUCUAUUUGAGAAUUUGCUUAAAAAAGUUUUAUUUUGAGAAAACAAAAAACAGAGUCAGUUGGUCAACGUAAUUCACUGUGAAUAAACAAUAAACCAACAAAUAGCAUUAACAUUAUCUUUUAAGGGGUAGGUGAGAUGAAGAAUAAUUGAGAGCUCUUUGCGGUACAGCUCAUGGUUAAUUACCAUUUCAUACUGCUGCACUUCUCUCAACUGGAUUCUGGAUUCUAUAUUACAUUGAAAUUACCUAAAUUUUGAGGUGAGGGAAGCUUCUAGUCUAGUGAGAUCUGAAGAAGAGAAGACACCGAGAAGAACUAGGUGGAAGCAGAGCAGAAAAGCCAGGAACAGUCAACAACCAAGGAAAUACUUUCUUUCAUGAAGCCUUAUUGAAUGGUCACAAAGAUUUCAAGAAAUUGAUUGAGGAAACUGCAUUUAUUACUACAAACAAUAAUCACAAAUCAGUUUUGUACUUAGCAACAGGACAUUGUUGAUGAUGUAUUCACCAGAAUAACCCUAAACCCUGAAGGUAUUUCAAACACAGAAAAAGAGGUAGGUGGAAGCAGAGCAGAAAGGGCAGGAACAGAUUUCAUAUUGUUACAGAAAAGGAGCAUGAUGAGAUUUCUAAGGUGUGGAGGGAAGAC